rnacentral:lncRNA from 1 species
GGGUGAAACACUUUUAUAUUGAAUUUGGGGCUUCGAUAAGGGGAAAGGAUCAGUUGUUGGAUGGAAUAGGUAAUCGAUAUGGGAGAAAAAGCGAGAAACCCACUAAAAGUGGAGUAGUCACUUGGCUAUGUACGAGGCGUGGUUUAAAAGGGUAAAGACGUCAGGAGUCAGAACAAAGUGUAUAUGAGGACCAACGAGAGGAUUAAAGAUAUUUGGGAGAAAUAUCAACACACCAAGGAAUAUACCGUAGAUGACCUUCUGAAGUACUGCUCCAAGACUUAUCGCAUGCCCUGUGAAUAUGACCAAUCUGAUUAAGAAGGCUUUCUUCGUCAUCUGCAGCACUGGAAGCAUCUCGUCUUUACUUGUUAGAUGAGUUCAACUGCUUUUCUUGAAAACGAAUUGAGAAUCUAUACAAUCGUCAGUCAAGUCGUAUAAAUGUUCCAAUAGUGUAUUUUGAUUUUUAAAUUCAGUUGCUUCUUGCCAAAAUACAGAUAUAACUACAAUAAAGCAAGUUUUUUUUUCAGAA